CGUGAUUGAGGCAGAGAGUGCUGCUGAUCGCGAUCCAGAUCCGGGUCAAGAAUCACCUCCUGAUCCUAAGGAAACCUCAGCUGACGUAGAUGUACGUUCUCUUCGCGUGAACGCUCAGUCUGUAUUGGCUUGGGCCACAGAGCGUUCCGAAUCCCAGCCGCUAAAGACCCACAGAAGGCAAGAAGCUUGCGUUGCAAAGCUGCUGUCCCGCCUGACUGCGGAGAAAGAAGACUCGUUUAUGGUUGUUCUACAGCCGCUGCUGACGUCCAUCAGCUCUGUCCUGCUCCCAGCUGCAGAUAGGCCUGGAUUUCAAUGAGUCGUGUCCCAACUCCGGUGUGAACGAUUUCCCGACGUCAAGACGAAGUGGGGUCAAGUCAUGGGUGUUGCAAGGAAGCUGUCACAAGAUGAUCCGGUAUUGAACGGCUACAGCACAACCAAGAGAACGAAAUGUACGUCGCAAUCAAGCUAUGUCGUUGCCAUCUUCUAUGUGCCAUGCGUUACCUGAUGUGCCAGCCUGCUAUGUCGGAUACCGCUAACCAUGCAUCGACUAGGCGCCAGGCGCGAACUGAUGGUGGUGGUGGUGGUGGACCUGCCAGGCGCGAACUGAUGGUGGUGCUGGACUGGUGGUGGUGAGAAGGAGAGCUCUGUACCAGAAUAACUUUGCAGUUUAGAGAGCGUGUCUGGGCAGGCGUGUAUUUACCCCCAUAUUGCCAGGUGUGUAUUUACCACCAUAUGAACCAACCAUAAGUGCAGUUGCAGUGGAGUCUUCAACUUCAUUCUCCCGAGUCAAGCUCCUUGUGAAGACAUGUAAGAAGAAGAUUGCCUGAUGAGUCCAGCCGGGACGAAAGGUACGUCGCAAUCAAGCUAUGUUGUUGCUGUGUCAUCUGCUAUGCGCCAUACGCUACCUGAUGUACCAGCCUGCUAUGUCGGACACCACUCACCCUGCAUCGACUAGGCGCCAGACGCGAAUUGAUGAUGGUGGUGGUGGUGGCGGGAAGGAGAGCUCUGUGCCAGAAUAACUUUUCAGUUUAGAGAGCGUGUGUAGGCAGGUGUGUAUUUACCGCCGUAUGAAUCAACCACAGUACGAUCAGCUGACGUUAUAACUUAUAAGGAUGAUCUCGUGCAGCGAUAUUAUUGAUAUGUUUUAAGUCUUUUCCAAGGACUCUCCACUGCAGCGUUUUCUUUCCACUCGGUUCUCUUCUUUUCAUCGCUCAGCUUGCACUUGCAAUGCUUAUACAUACUGAUCAAUCCCGUUCAAUUUUCCGUACAUUUUUCUCAAAAUCCAUAGCGUGGACGAAGUAGUGAUUUUCCGUACAAAUAUGGAAAAUACGGAAGGUUGAUGGCACUGUGUUGAGGCAGUUAUUGUUGACUUUAUUUGGAAUUAAUUCUGUCGUAUUUGCACACAUUCCUGAGUGCAUUGUAUUACUAUUAGCAUCCAAUGUGUGUUAUCUGUGCGAGCUUCUAACCUUGUGAACAUUCGAUCUUCCGGGAUGGCUCUUGCGGGCUCUCAGCCCUGCGUUCACUGCAUAAAACUUGGCAGAACAGUUCAAGUUUCAAUUUAGGCCAUUUCCUCACUCUGUGACUCCCAA